UUUUUUUUUCCUUUUUUUUUGUGGCGUAUAAUAA
rnacentral:sRNA from 1 species